rnacentral:rRNA from 1 species
UUCCCAUUAAGGUCUGGAAUGAAGGGGGACACAGGGGAGAGCUGUCUCCAAUAAGGUUAAUUUAACUUUCUUAUCAGGUGAAAAUUCCUGAGCCUCCGAUGAAAGACGAGAAGACCCUUAGAGUUUUUAUUAUAACUUGAUAUAUCAAGAUUCUUGUUCUGUUUUUGUUGGGGCGACAGGGUUACAAUAGAUAACUUACCCUACCAUAUUUUUAUAUGGCGAUCAUUAUACUUUUAAUUAAGCUACCUAAGGGAUAACAGCGUAAUCUUUUUUUUUGGUUUGCGACCUCGAUGUUGGACUAGGAAGUGU